GACGAACGCUGGCGGCGUGCUUAACACAUGCAAGUCGAACGGAAAGGCCCUGCUUGCAGGGUACUCGAGUGGCGAACGGGUGAGUAACACGUGGGUGAUCUGCCCUGCACUUCGGGAUAAGCCUGGGAAACUGGGUCUAAUACCGGAUAGGAGCCAUUUUUAGUGUGAUGGUUGGAAAGUUUUUUCGGUGUAGGAUGAGCUCGCGGCCUAUCAGCUUGUUGGUGGGGUAAUGGCCUACCAAGGCGGCGACGGGUAGCCGGCCUGAGAGGGUGGACGGCCACAUUGGGACUGAGAUACGGCCCAGACUCCUACGGGAGGCAGCAGUGGGGAAUAUUGCACAAUGGGCGCGAGCCUGAUGCAGCCAUGCCGCGUGUAUGAAGAAGGCCUUCGGGUUGUAAAGUACUUUCAGCGGGGAGGAAGGGAGUAAAGUUAAUACCUUGGCUCAUUGACGUUACCCGCAGAAGAAGCACCGGCUAACUCCGUG
rnacentral:rRNA from 1 species